rnacentral:rRNA from 1 species
GAUGAACGCUGGCGGCGUGCCUAAUACAUGCAAGUCGAGCGAACGGACGAGAAGCUUGCUUCACUGAUGUUAGCGGCGGACGGGUGAGUAACACGUGGAUAACCUACCUAUAAGACUGGGAUAACUUCGGGAAACCGGAGCUAAUACCGGAUAAUAUUUUGAACCGCAUGGUUCAAAAGUGAAAGACGGUCUUGCUGUCACUUAUAGAUGGAUCCGCGCUGCAUUAGCUAGUUGGUAAGGUAACGGCUUACCAAGGCAACGAUGCAUAGCCGACCUGAGAGGGUGAUCGGCCACACUGGAACUGGGACACGGUCCAGACUCCUACGGGAGGCAGCGGUAGGGAAUCUUCCGCAAUGGGCGAAAGCCUGACGGAGCAACGCCGCGUGAGUGAUGAAGGUCUUCGGAUCGUAAAACUCUGUUAUUAGGGAAGAACAUAUGUGUAAGUAACUGUGCACAUCUUGACGGUACCUAAUCAGAAAGCCACGGCUAACUACGUG